rnacentral:misc_RNA from 1 species
GUGAUAGUACUACUACUACAAUUUAACAAGUGAAAGAAUACAAGAAAGAGAGGAUGAACAAAAUAAAAAAAAAAGAUUACAACAAUGAUGGUUUAAGAAGUUUUAGAUGGUUGAGUAGCUGGAGCUGUCGAGUAUGUCUUUACUGCAAAGAAAAGCUUCUCCCUCUCCAAUGGACCAUCUUCAUGAUCAACAAUUAGACUAUCCCAGUUCAAUCCAUCUGCUAUCCUUUUCACUCUGAUCAAUAUAUCUACGUCGUCUCGGAUUAUUACACUUCCCUCUGGCCUUAAUAUCCUAUCCAAUUCUAGCACAAUAUCUUCCAUUUCACAUCUGUUCUCAUAGAGGGUAAAUACGGAAUCAGCAUGAAUGAGAUCAUAUGUUCUUGGGUAUGUUGACAUCGCCUCGCACCAGCUUUG